rnacentral:siRNA from 1 species
AUCUGUGUGGGUACAUGAAGUGGG